rnacentral:lncRNA from 1 species
UCUGUGUAGCAUACGCCCUUCUCUCCAUGAAUCCCCAGGCUUGAGGCCUCAGGAGGAUCAUUUCUUCCCCCAGACAUUCCCCAGCCUCACACAGAGCCCUGGGCCUUCUCCCUGGACCUGGGACUCAAGCUGGCAGCUGGAUCAGGCCACCUGCUUGCCCUUGGCGCACGGGAGAACUCUUCCUGGAUUAGCCUUCACCUCCAAGAUCAAAAGGUAGUGCUGACUUCUGGGGCCGGGCUGAGCCUGGACCUGCCCGUGGCCUUAGGACUCCCUCUGCAGCUGAAGCUGGCUGCAUCCACAGUGAUCCUCAAGCAGGGGCCAAAGACCGAGGUCUUUGCUGUGGCCCCUGAGGACCUUAACCCCCUUCUCCAGCUCUGGGCCCAGCCACGGG